GGAAAAAAGACCCUUCAGAAACUUCGUAAAACCCCUGGGAAGCCCCUCAGUGCUACUUUCCUAAUGGAAAGAGCUCAAAGGGAAUGGCUUCUGAGCCUUCACCACUGAGGACAGCAUGAAGCUAGCCACUUGCCAUGUGGUUAUACCUGAAUAUGCUAAACCACCUUUAAAGAAGGGAGCUCCAGAAAGAUAUAUUGCAAGCCCCCAAGAAGGCAUGACUCCUUGUGAGUUUGCAAGAUCUAGCAUACACAGGCAGCCUCUUUAUGCUGGGGAGGUAGGUGUGAGGAUUUUCCUCUGCUACUGGAGGAUGGGAAGAGGUAAGCCAUUCUCUAAAUCUCAGAAUUCUCUCUGAGUUUGUGGAGUGGUUUCUAAUGUAAGUGCUAACUUAGGCUGCUGCUAAUUGCUGCUGAUUGCUGGUAAAUUGCUGGCAAUAGCAACUGGCUGUCCUGGCAGCAGCAAUGGCAUAUCCCAAGACAGCAGAAGCAGGGAUAGAAAGCUUCAGUGGUGCUGGAAUGCCUGGAUGAGAAGCCCAGAUUGCCAAGGCAGCCUAACAAGCCACUUAGCAAGGGGAGCCCAGAAGGAAAAGCUCACUUGGAAACCCAAGACCACUAAGAGGUAUGGAAACAGACAGCAUGAUUCCAACAGAAACUGGGACUCUUCUGCAUUAAUCUUCUUGCUAAAAGAGGAAUGGAUGCCACCAAGCUUGAGGAAAGUUGCUUCUCAGUACCUCAGUGUGUCAGAAUUCUGAAGAAAUUCUGAAGAAAUAAGGGGAGUAAUACCAAAUGGAAAUAAGGAAAUUCAAUAUUUUGGUAAGCUGAUAAAAAUUAGUGAAGGGCAUGCACACUGAUAUGUAACAGAAGAUUAUUCCAGAAUAUUAGGAUUACCUAAUAAUUGUUGGCCAAUCCUUCUCUCCAGCACACUUUUAAGGGAUAACUUUCUUCUUCACUUCUGAUUUUCCUCUUCUCCUGGGCUGGUGUGAAAAUGUGGACAGAAGAAGUCCUUUCUAUGUAUGAUUGAUUGAUUUAUUAAACAAAUGUUUAUUGAGCCCAGUGA
rnacentral:lncRNA from 1 species